rnacentral:rRNA from 1 species
UACGAAGGGUGCAAGCGUUACUCGGAAUUACUGGGCGUAAAGCGUGCGUAGGUGGUUUGUUAAGUCUGUUGUGAAAGCCCCGGGCUCAACCUGGGAAUGGCAAUGGAUACUGGCAAGCUGGAGUGCGGUAGAGGGUAGUGGAAUUCCCGGUGUAGCGGUGAAAUGCGUAGAGAUCGGCAGGAACACCCAGGGGGAAACCAGCCGACUGGGCAUCUGCUGACGCUGAGGUGCGAGAGCGUGGGGAGCGAACCGG